GAGGUCUUAGCUUAAUUAAAGUGUCUGGGUUGCAGUCAGAUGAUGUGGAAANGAAUUCUACAGACCUU
rnacentral:tRNA from 1 species